UACAGAGGUCUCAAGCGUUGUUCGGAUUCAUUGGGCGUAAAGGGUGCGUAGGCGGCCAACUAAGUCGGAUGUGAAAUCCCCAGGCUUAACCUGGGAACUGCAUCCGAUACUGGAUGGCUUGAAUCCGGGAGAGGGAUGCAGAAUUCCAGGUGUAGCGGUGAAAUGCGUAGAUAUCUGGAGGAAUACCGGUGGCGAAGGCGGCAUCCUGGACCGGCAUUGACGCUGAGGAGCGAAAGCUAGGGGAGCAAACGGG
rnacentral:rRNA from 1 species